CACGGAGGGUGCAAGCGUUAUUCGGAAUCACUGGGCGUAAAGAGCGCGUAGGCGGUCUCUUAAGUCAGAUGUGAAAGCCCGGGGCUCAACCCCGGAAGUGCAUUUGAAACUAAGUGACUUGAGUAUGGGAGAGGGAAGUGGAAUUCCUGGUGUAGCGGUGAAAUGCGUAGAUAUCAGGAGGAACACCGGUGGCGAUGGCGACUUCCUGGACCAAUACUGACGCUGAGGCGCGAAGGCGUGGGGAGCAAACAGG
rnacentral:rRNA from 1 species